CUCUAGAAUCUGGGUUGUGGACUUGG
rnacentral:piRNA from 1 species